AUAUUUAUACAGUCAGCCAGCGCAAACCCAAUGCAGGCCACCUACGACGGAAAUAAGCCCAACUAUUUUGAGCCCAUGAUCGUUGCACCGAAGACGUCGACACGUGUCCUCCUCGGCCCAUCCACCCGUCACCCGCUCAGCCGUGCCCCUCCCCGUCUCCGGCGCGCGCCGAGGCGGCGCUGGAGGCCGGAGCAGAUCGCUGGCCGCCGCGUCCCACCUCCGAUCUGAU
rnacentral:lncRNA from 1 species